UACGUAGGUCCCGGGCGUUGUCCGGAUUUAUUGGGCGUAAAGCGAGCGCAGGUGGUUUAUUAAGUCUGGUGUAAAAGGCAGUGGCUCAACCAUUGUAUGCAUUGGAAACUGGUAGACUUGAGUGCAGGAGAGGAGAGUGGAAUUCCAUGUGUAGCGGUGAAAUGCGUAGAUAUAUGGAAGAACACCAGUGGCGAAAGCGGCUCUCUGGUCUGUAACUGACGCUGAGGUUCGAAAGCGUGGGUAGCAAACAGG
rnacentral:rRNA from 1 species